AGACAGGGCACUGUCUGUGGCCCCAGGGGUUGAGGACCCCUGGCUUUAACAACAGAAAGGUACCAUCUUACAGUUCUGGAGGCCAAAGUCUGAUAUCCAGACCCCAGUUACUGGAUUGGGAUCCACCCUCACUCAAUAUGGCCUCAGCUUAAUGAAAGACAUCUGCAGAGACCCUAUUUCUACUAAAAGCCACAUUCUGAGACUUCUCGUGGGCGUGCUUUGGAGGCCAGAGUGCAUGCGUACGGGCCCUGCACACGCUGAAUGUCACUGGGAACAAGGACACACCCCGCUUCCAGGAGAAGAUAGAACAUGUCGACCCCUUUUACCAUAUGACACAUUAUCAGACCAAACCAGAGCUCUUGGUUUUCGGAUCUGGGGAUGAAUUCUUUAGCACAGAUGGAACCAUGAACUUCUAUGAUCAACUGCCAGGAAGGAAAUACCUCAGAGCCAUCCCCAGUGCAGGACAUGCUAUUGACUUCCAUGAGACAAACACCUACUUGGAAAUCAGGUUUUUUCUGUACCUUUUGAAGGAGCAGGAAUUUCCCAGCAUUUCCUGGACAAAGACGGAGAAGAGAAUUCUGGUCCUUUUCCCCUGGGAUUGAGGUCUCCUGGGCUCAGUCUGCAGUGGGAAACCCGGCCACAUUCGCUGCAUCCUUUCCAGCAAGAUGUCAUUCUGAGAUUUUUGUCAUUCCUGGGCGUUAUGAGGACUGCCAAGGGACACAAUUCCAUGGGAGGAAAGUUUUCUUCUAAGCUGCAAGCCAGCUCUGGCUUCUGGAGUUUCUCCUUAGGAUUGCAAGACAGUAGUUCCCUGUCCUUUAGGUCUUCUCCAGAAAUACCUUAAAAUAGCAAAUAAAAUAAGAUAUAAGCAAACAAAA
ensembl:lncRNA SCAT1 S-phase cancer associated transcript 1